rnacentral:piRNA from 1 species
UAUAAUACAGCAGUGUCCUACAGGGGGUC